rnacentral:rRNA from 1 species
GCUACGCUUCGCCGAAGUGUUAGCAUGGUGGGGGAUCGCAUUAAGAGGUCGUGGCUUUCUUCGUGGCCUGGGGCGGCGGCUCUCUGGCCGGCUUGCCCCUGCUGGUGUUAGGGGAUCUUGUCUCGAGGGACACGCUGUUUGUGUCCCCCUGGGUGGCCAGGGUGACCUUCCCGCUGAAAGCGGUCUCGCCGCUGCAGGUCCCCCUGUCGGAUUCACUCGUGGGCGGGGUACCCUUUCUGCUGAUCCGGAUCCCGCCUAUGAUUGGUUUGUACCAGCUCCCUGAGAUCUUGCCCGGACUGCUUCUGAUAUUGGACUGAGAUCCACGUGGUCACUUUAUAACAGAGGGGGCAGCCUUGAUCGAGGCGGCGGGCGUGUACGCUAAAGUCCUUUCGAGUGUGAUGCCCUCUUGCAAAAUACAAGACGUAUCUCCGAAUCCGAAAUACUGCUCACGGUAUCUGCAGAAUAAGCACCGGCUAACUACCUGCCAGCAGCCGCGGGUAAUACGUAGGGUGCACGCGUUAAUCGGAAUUACUGGGUGUAAGGCGUGUGUAGGCGGUUCGUAAAGAAGGUGUGAAAUCCCAGGGCUCAACCUUGUCACUGCAUUUUUAACUGCCGAGCUAGAGUAUGUCAGAGGGGGGGUAGAAUUCCUCGUGUAGCAGGGAAAUGCUAAGAUAUGUGGGAGGAAUACCCAAUGGCCGAAGGCGCCCCUUGGGAAUAAUAUUGACGCUCAAAAAGCGAAACGUGGGGGAGCAACAGGAUUAUAUACCCAGGGUAAUCCCCGCCUUAAAGAUGUCCACUAGCUGGUGGGGGCCUUUUAGGCCUUCAUAAGCGCGCCUAACGCGUGAAGGUUGACGGGC